rnacentral:lncRNA from 1 species
GAUUGCUAAAGUCCUAUUGCAUGCUUUAAGAUGCCUUGCGUUUGGUGAAUUGAAGCCUGAUAUGUCAACAUACUCUCUGUAAACACAGCAGCACAGAGGGCAAAGAAACACUUAUCCAGCACCACAGCUAGGACAAAAGGAAUUAUUUUGACAGUAAAUGGACUUGCAGCUUAAGGUUGGUAUGUACCCAAUUGUGACUAAACCAAAAGAAACAAAUCUGGAAACUGAAGUAUCAAUACGUGAAAAGCGUUCUUUUGGUAUUGGGAGUGCCAGUUGUCUUUGUUUCAUGAACUACUUCUCCGUAAUAGCAUGCAGCCAUCUUCAAGAGGUAAAACAGCAUCCCCAGGAUAAACAGGAUUACUCAAAGUUAUUGAGAAGAAAUACAGGUUCUGGUGGACAAUUUCCAGUCUGGAGUCUGCAUUUGGAGAGAUUCUACAGCACAUGCAUGAAUGAGGAGGAGGUGGUGUCCCAAGGGCAUUUAUAUCUUUGCUCUGUAUUUGGAGGAGAAUGGAGAGUUCCAAAUGAUCAGAGCUUGCACAUUACUAGAUCCCCUUUCUAGGGAAAAUGCUGCGAUCAAUUGAAGUUGUCAUCCUCAUGAAGCUCAUACUGUUUUGCCUGAAAAAUAAAUAAUGGAGUAUCUGCUGAGGAGACUGGAAUGAGGAAGGAAUUCAUUAAGUCUGAUUGUCUCUGAACAGCAAAGUUCCUGAGCCUACUCAAUAUGAAGAUAAUGAGAAUGAAGAUCUUGAUGAAUUAGUCACUUUCACUUAACGAAUAGUAAAUAUAGUUUAUCUUUCUUAUGAUUUUCUUAAUAACAUUUUAUUUUCUCUAGCUUACUUUAUUGUAAGAAUACUGUAUAUAAUACAUAUACAAAAGAUGUAUUAAUCAACUGUGUAAGUUAUCAAUAAGGCUUCUGAUCAGUAAGAAUCUAUUAGUAGUUAAGAUUUGAGGGAGUCAAAAGUUAUGUAGAUUUUUGACUAUGUGAGAGAUCAGCACCCUAAUCCCAAGAUUGUUCAAGGGUCAACUCUAUUCUGUUUUCAUCCACAUUUUUCAACUUUCACACAAAUUUAAACACUAAAAAUCCUGAAUGUGACCCACAUGGGACAAAAAUAAUACUAAAUUUGACUGUCUCAAAGCUAUCAACAUAUGUAGCGUAGUGAGCAAGGAAAGAAAUAUACAUAGAAAUAUAUAUAUUUUGUUGCUCUAUAGUCCUGUUGCCAUGCUUAUAGUUUUAUGGUAUUUGAUCACUUAAAGGCCUUCAAUCAACUCAUGAAGAAAAUAUUCCAACAUUUAAAAGUUUUUUUUCUUUUUCAGAACAAAUAAACUAAGUGCUUUUUAAAACUGUAACCUGUAAGUAGAUGAAGGAGUAUUAUAACCAGCUGCUCUUCAUUUCCACUGAGAGAAGACAUGGAAAUAUGUUUAAUUCACAGCAGGAGUGGUUUAGAUUGGACAACAGGAAGACAAAUUUGACAGGAAUUCAUACUAGACCCUAAAAGAUAUUACCAAGGGGAAUUUGUAGAUUUUUUUUUUCUAUUCAGGUCUUUGCGAAUAAAUUAGAUUCUAUGGCUACUGCGAGGACCUUGAAUUCUUGCAAGUAGGUCAAGGAGGUGGACAAAGGGAUACUAAAGUACCAGUCUUUUAUUACUCUAUACUAGAAUGGUAGACGUUGACCUGUCUUGCUCAUUCUCUCUUUCUCAAUAUAAUACUUGCUUCCCAUCCCUCCCUUACCUAAUAUGAAUCAAUAAUGAAUAAGUUCAAAGUAUACCGGCCAUUUCUUCGUUCCACCUUGGUGCUUUGUUUUGAGCAAUAAACUCUUAUACCACAAUGAAAGACAUAGACGGAGAUUAAGUGAUGCCAUUUUUUAAUUGAAUUAAUGUAUCUCAUAUGUCUUUCUUAAUACUACAAUGUGCCUGCCACAUAUUUUCUCUUCUGAAUGUUUUAUUUUAUUAAAAUUGUUUUUUAAUUCCUUAAUAGUGCCUUUUUUCUUUAUUUGAACUGAGAAAAUAAUAUGAAUUAAAAGAUCCUUUGCAUUCAGAAAACAGUUUUUUUUUGAAAAUAUAUUUGAGUGAGUUGCGAUUAAGAUGCUACUAUGAAAAAGCGGAAAGAGUCAAAAAGGUACCCUUCCUUUACUGCUAUGUCCAUCAACUAGGAUAUGCUUUCCCAACUAGUAUUGUAUGCCUAAUAGGAAAGGAAAGCUUUUUUUUGUGGCUAAAUUAAUGAUGAGAUUCGCUAUGUUCUGCCCUAAAACAUGACUAUACAAGUCCAGAAUGCAUCACCCUAACAUAUUCUUCUUUGGCAGGUUGAUGCUUUUGAGCUGGUUAUUUUAAGGAACUGCAGACACAGGAAUAGCUCUUAAAAGUUGGCCUUUUAUGUUGAUUAAAUAAUUUUCCAUUUGUAAGAGUGUCUCCUUAUCUGUACCAGGGAAAAAAGAAUUAAAUCACUAGAGACUUCUAAUCAAUGAAGAAGGUGUAGACUUAAAUCUGUGCAACAAAUCUUAUCUUUGUUUUAAGGUGCUUUUCCUGGUCAUCUCAUCUGAAUCUGGCUUGUCUCCUCACCCUCUCAUAAUUUGCUUUUAGUACCACCUAGAGGCCCCAAGCUCUUAUUUCUCCAUGUAAUUUCCCAUUUCAAGAGGAAACACAGUGUAAGCCUCAAUCUUCUGGCCAAUUCUUUGAGCCCUGUAUUUUUGUGGGACUCCUAUGUGUAUGUACAUAAUUGAUAUAGUUUUUCUCUUGUUAAUCUCUCUUAUGUCAAUUAAAUUCAUAGACAAGCCAAAGAACCUAAGAGGGUAGAAGGAAGCAUUUUUCCUCCCCUGUAUUACUUAUUUGUAUUCUUUUUGUGUUAGGUAUUGAGGUUGAUUUGGGGGAGGCAGGGGGAAUGGCCUCAAUAACUCCUUCUAACCCUAUGUGUAUGCUCUUGUGUAAUAUCUUUGUUAUUCCUUCAAUCAAGAAAGAGAAUCUAUUUUCUCAUCUCUUGAAUCUGGGCUGGACAUAUGAUUUCCCUUGACCAACAGAAUGAUGCACAUGUGACAUUUUGAGAGUUCAGGAGAUGGCUCCUCAAGAAGCCCAGCAAUUUUUCUUUUCCUCUUGAAACAUUGUCAUGAUCCCCCUAAAUAAAGAAAUGGAGUCACUGGAAGAUAAUAAACCACGUUCAAAAGAAGUCAAAAGCUACAGUCCACAUGUAGCAUCCAGCAGCUUCACAUGUGAGCAAAGACAUCUGGGAUCAUUCAAUCUCUGUCAAGGCAUCUCAUGACUACAGCUCGAGAGCACCCCAGAUGGAACCCUUCAGAAAAGCUACUCAUUUGACCGCAGUUCACAUUUCUCACCCACAGUAUCAUGAACAAAUAAAAUGGUGUUGUUUUAAGCCAC